GCUGCCGCCGCCGUGGCCCAUGGGCACAAUCGUCUCGGAAGGCCGGAAGUAAAAGAAACUUGUCCUUGCUCCUAUGUCACCCGUCUACCUGUCUUUACAGGCUUUCACAAAGUCCCACUGGUAGCCUAUAAAAUACUGAGAAUAUGGGCUGGAGCAAUGGCUCAGUGGGAAGAGCAUGCGAUGCUCUUCCAGAGGACCCGAGUUUGUUUCCCAGCAACCACAUGAUGGUCCACAGCUGUCCAUAACUCCAGUUCCCGGGGAUCUACCCUCUUCUGGCCUCUUGAGGGCACCAGGCACUCAAAUGAACAUGGUUGGUGCAGGAGAGGUCGAUGAAGACUUGGAAGUUGAAACCAAGGAAGAAUGUGAAAAAUAUGGCAAAGUUGGGAAAUGUGUGAUAUUUGAGAUUCCUGGUGCCCCUGAUGAUGAAGCAGUACGGAUAUUUUUAGAAUUUGAGAGAGU
rnacentral:lncRNA from 1 species